rnacentral:rRNA from 1 species
AGAGUUUGAUCAUGGCUCAGGAUGAACGCUAGCGGCAGGCUUAACACAUGCAAGUCGAGGGGUAUAGGUUUUCGGACCUAGAGACCGGCGCACGGGUGCGUAACGCGUAUGCAAUCUACCUUUUACAGAGGGAUAGCCCAGAGAAAUUUGGAUUAAUACCUCAUAGUAUAAUGAUUCGGCAUCGAGACAUUAUUAAAGUUCCAACGGUAAAAGAUGAGCAUGCGUCCCAUUAGCUAGAUGGUAAGGUAACGGCUUACCAUGGCGACGAUGGGUAGGGGUCCUGAGAGGGAGAUCCCCCACACUGGUACUGAGACACGGACCAGACUCCUACGGGAGGCAGCAGUGAGGAAUAUUGGUCAAUGGGCGCAAGCCUGAACCAGCCAUGCCGCGUGCAGGAUGACGGUCCUAUGGAUUGUAAACUGCUUUUGUACAGGAAGAAACAGUUCUACGUGUAGAACCUUGACGGUACUGUAAGAAUAAGGAUCGGCUAACUCCGUGCCAGCAGCCGCGGUAAUACGGAGGAUCCAAGCGUUAUCCGGAAUCAUUGGGUUUAAAGGGUCCGUAGGCGGUUUUGUAAGUCAGUGGUGAAAGCCCAUCGCUCAACGGUGGAAUGGCCAUUGAUACUGCAAGACUUGAAUUACUAGGAAGUAACUAGAAUAUGUAGUGUAGCGGUGAAAUGCUUAGAUAUUACAUGGAAUACCAAUUGCGAAGGCAGGUUACUACUAGUGGAUUGACGCUGAUGGACGAAAGCGUGGGGAGCGAACAGGAUUAGAUACCCUGGUAGUCCACGCCGUAAACGAUGGAUACUAGCUGUUCGAGAGCAAUCUUGAGUGGCUAAGCGAAAGUGAUAAGUAUCCCACCUGGGGAGUACGUUCGCAGAAUGAAACUCAAAGGAAUUGACGGGGGGCCGCACAAGCGGUGGAGCAUGGGGUUUAAUUCGAUGAUACGCGA